UCCUCCCGACUCUCCCGGCGCCGCUAAGUUUCUUCGCUCGGGACCGCGCAGAGAGCCGGGGCCGGGCACGAGCGGUGUCUCCGCUGGUGUGUCCCCGAGCGCAGACCCCGGGCCCGGCCCCGGCCCCACCACGCCAUGCUGUGCGGCCACUGGAGGAGGUGCCGCCGCCUGCCUGAGGAGCCUCCGGUGCCGGCCCAGGUCUCCGCGCCCCUCGCGCUCCAGCCCUCGCCAGCGUCUCCGGACGGCGGCACCAAGAGGCCCGGUCUGCGGGCGCUGAAAAAGAUGGGCCUGACGGAGGACGAGGACGUGCGCGCCAUGCUGCGGGGCUCCCGGCUCUGCAAGAUCCGCUCACGCACGUGGCACAAGGAGCGGCUGUACCGGCUGCAGGAGGACGGCCUGAGCGUGUGGUUCCAGAGGCGCAUCCCUCGUGCGCCAUCGCAGCACAUCUUCUUCGUACAGCACAUCGAGGCUGUCCGCGAGGGGCACCAGUCCGAGGGCCUGCGGCGCUACGGGGGCGCCUUCGCACCUGCGCGCUGCCUCACCAUCGCCUUCAAAGGUCGCCGCAAGAACCUGGACCUGGCGGCACCCACCGCCGAGGAGGCCCAGCGCUGGGUGCGUGGCCUGGCCAAGCUGCGCGCGCGCCUCGAUGCUAUGAGCCAGCGCGAGCGGCUUGACCACUGGAUCCACUCCUACCUGCACCGGGCAGACUCGAAUCAGGAUAGUAAGAUGAGCUUCAAGGAAAUCAAGAGCCUCCUCAGGAUGGUCAACGUGGACAUGAAUGACAUGUAUGCCUACCGCCUCUUCAAGGAGUGUGACCAUUCCAACAAUGAGCGCCUGGAGGGAGCUGAAAUUGAGGAGUUCCUGCGGCGGCUGCUGAAGCGCCCAGAGUUGGAGGAGAUCUUCAGUCGAUACUCAGGCGAGGACCGUGUGCUGAGUGCCCCUGAGCUACUGGAGUUCCUGGAGGACCAGGGUGAGGAUGGCGCCACCCUGGCCCGUGCCCAGCAGCUCAUCCAGACCUAUGAACUCAAUGAGACAGCCAAGCAGCAUGAGCUGAUGACACUGGAUGGCUUUAUGAUGUACCUGCUGUCACCCGAGGGGGCUGCCCUGGACAUGGCUCACACGUGUGUGUUCCAGGAUAUGGGCCAGCCUCUUGCCCACUAUUUCAUCUCCUCUUCUCACAAUACUUAUCUGACUGACUCUCAGAUUGGGGGGCCCAGCAGCACAGAGGCCUAUGUUAGGGCCUUUGCCCAGGGAUGCCGCUGUGUGGAACUGGACUGUUGGGAAGGCCCAGGAGGGGAGCCUGUCAUCUACCAUGGCCACACACUCACCUCCAAGAUCCUCUUCCGAGACGUGAUCCAAGCCGUGCGUGACCAUGCCUUCGUGUUGUCCCCAUACCCUGUCAUCCUAUCCCUUGAGAACCACUGUGGGCUGGAGCACCAGGCUGCCAUGGCUCGCCACCUUCGAACCAUCCUGGGAGACAUGCUGGUGAUGCAGGCGCUAGACUCCCAGAAUCCUGAGGAGCUGCCGUCGCCAGAGAAGCUGAAAGGCCGGGUCCUGGUGAAGGGGAAGAAGCUACCAGCUGCACACAUGGAGGAUGGCCGAAUUUUAUCAGACAGGGAGGAGGAGGAAGAGGAGGAAGAGGAGGGGGAAGAAGCCGCAGAGGUUGCAGAGCAGAGACGGAAGCUGGUCUCCCAGGCCAAGCAGAUCUCCCCAGAGCUGUCAGCCCUGGCUGUGUACUGCUGGGCCACCCGCCUGCGGACCCUGAACCCUGGCCCUGGACCACCCCAGCCCUACCAGGUCAGCUCCCUCAGUGAGCGCAAGGCCAAGAAGUUCAUCCGGGAGGCAGGGAACAGCUUUGUCAGACGCAAUGCUCGCCAGCUGACCCGUGUGUAUCCAUUGGGUCUGCGGAUGAACUCGGCCAACUACAACCCCCAGGAGAUGUGGAACUCAGGCUGUCAGCUGGUGGCCCUGAACUUCCAGACACCAGGUUAUGAGAUGGACCUCAAUGAAGGGCGCUUCCUCAUCAAUGGGCGGUGUGGCUAUGUCCUGAAACCUGCCUGUCUACGGCAACCUGACACAACCUUUGACCCCGAAUGCCCUGGACCUCCCAGAACUACUCUAACAGUCCAGGUACUAACUGCCCAGCAGCUGCCCAAGCUGAAUGCUGAGAAGCCCAGCUCCAUUGUGGACCCCCUGGUGCGUGUGGAGAUCCAUGGGGUGCCCGCAGACUGUGCUCGGAAGGAGACCAGCUAUGUGCUCAAUAAUGGUGGGCAGGUUUCAAUCCCCACUGGGGCCAGACCCUGCAGUUCCAGCUGCGGGCCCCAGAGCUGGUGCUGGUGCGGUUUGUGGUAGAAGAUUAUGAUACCACCUCCCCCAAUGACUUUGUGGGCCAGUUUACACUGCCUCUCAACAGCCUGAAGCAAGGGUACCGCCACAUCCACCUGCUUUCCAAGGAUGGGGCAUCACUGUCCCCUGCCACGCUUUUUGUCCACAUCCACAUCCAGCGCUCCUGAAGGACUAAAGGACCACUCCAGGGUUCUGUGGGUACCAGUCUGCACAGAGCCCUCUCUUCCCCCGGAGCGAGGACUAGUGGGAGCAACAGUCCCUCCAGCGCUCCCACCUGGCCGGCUCAGCAGCUGCUGACUUCACUGAGUCUGAUGGCUACCCGGCCCCUCCUGGGCCACUAGCAGGGGAUCUGUGCCCUUAAGACGCUCACUUGACAUCAGUGGGCUCCAACCCUGGGGUCUUGAGAUGGCUCCAGCUCCUCUGGUCCUCAGCCCACAUCCUCAUCAUGACUUAUAAGAAGGCAGGCCUGUAGCUGUCAGGAGACUUGGGAAGCAGGACACCUUUAAGCCCUCAGCUCUUCUGACCUCUGGCAGGGCCAUCUGCCCCACAGAGCUGUCCCCCUAUCCCCCACCCCAGGCAUUAGCCUACCCUAAAGCCCUCCGGCCCCCAGGCUUUCCUGGCUGCCUCCUCCUGCUCUCCAACCUGAGCUUCUCCUCCCUUGGCUUCACUUCCUGGAGCAAGAAGGGAGUGUUGAGGUGGAGCCCUGGGGAAACCUGGCAGUAGGUUUGUAACUUGUCACAGAAGAGCCCUGGAGAGGGGCUGGGGCUGUAGCUCAGUGGAGAGCGCUCGCCUAGCAUGUGUGAGGCCCUGGGUUUAAUCCUCAGGACCACUAAAAAACUAUUAAAAAACAAACAAACAAAAAAGCCUUGGAGAGGGCAGGGAGAGUGUCUGUUUUGAAAAAUAAAGAAGCAAGUUUCCCUUACCACCCCCAUGCCACAGCACCUCUGAACCACAACACUGGCCCCGAGGGACGGCUGCAGCGAGAGCCCCAGCAGGGCUUAGAUUGUCUAAGAUAGCCUGGAGUGGCUGUGGGAGAUGCCAUGGCUCAAAAUAGCUCUGACCGCUGCGCUUGACUUAAAAGCUGCUUCGAGUAUCACAAAUCUGUCUGAAGACACUAAUUCACAAGGUCACCCCACUCCCCUACCACAUACCAGUGGCCUUAAAUGGGGCACAGGGCAGUACUCUGAGGGAACCCCACUUUCCAGGCUCAGCUGGGUUCAGGACCCAUCUGCUCAGUUGAGCACACCCCCAAGAACAGGCAAACGGCCUCACAAAUGAAAGUGUGGAAAGUGGCAGCGCUCUAGGCCACCUCUGUAACAAUGCUGGGAGAGGAAGCAAUAUACCGGAGGACAGGAUCCAGAUAAAACCUGGGGCUCACGCCUGUCAAAAGAAGGAGUUUAUGGGACUGUGGAGCUGUGGUAUUUUAGUUUUCACCAGGCAACAUCACCAGUACCGGACAAGGGCAGUCAGGAAGGUGGUUUCCACAGGGUGGGCUGGGCUAGGCCUUGAAUUGGCCCCAAGGCCUAUAGGAACCAAAACCCAAGGCUAGGCCAGUCUCUACCUCCCUUCAACCCCAGGAGUGCCCCCGAUACUUUACCCUGGGCCACAUCCCCAGCCCUUUUUAUUUUUCAUUUUGAGACAGGAUUUCACUAAGUUGCUUAGGUCCUCCCUAACUGCUGGGGCUGGCCUCGAACUUGUGAUCCUCCUGCCUUAGCUUCCAAGUCACUGGGAUUACAGGUGUAUGCCACCAUGACCAGCCUGCUCCUGGUUCUUAAUAGGAGAGGAGUUCGGUUCUGAUAAAUUGGAGUAUCUGAAAGAGGAUGACCAGAAUCUGAAGGUGCCCAGAAUGGAUGGGCCAGGGACUGGUGCAUACAGCUGUCAGGAAGACCAGAUGGCCAACUUACAACCCAGGGCGCCAAAUCUGAGACCAAAUCCAGUUUGGUCUACAGGGGGGACAGUUCUGUUCAGGGCCUGGCAUGCACAGGCCCAGGGCUGAGCCCCCAUCCUGCUUCUUGUCUCUGGUUUGGUGUUGUAAAAGGAAGGGUUGACAGCUAGGACAAGAGCCCAGAGCUGGGAAACCACAUUGAAAGGGCCAGUCCCUAAGGCUAGGAAGGUGACAGGAACUGAACAAAUAUGAAUGGUGGAAGCAAAGAAGAAAUCAGCUUUAUUCUUUUUUGGGGGGACAGGGGUAUUCAACCACUGGGCAAAAUCCCCAGCCUAUUUUGUGUCUUAUUUAGAGACAGGGUCUCACUGAGUUGCUAAAUGUGUUGCCAUUGCUGAGGCUGGCUUUGAACUCGUGAUCCUCCUGAGCCACUGGGAUUAUAGGCAUGCACCACCGUGCCUGGCUGAAAUCAACUUUAUUCUUGGAAGUCCCUGGAGACCACCCAUAGGGCUGUAUUCUUCUAGCCAAAGCUCAGGGCAGGAAUAGGGGAUGAGAUUGGAGAAACAGAGUGACCUGGUCAUGGGCAAGGCCUGGGAUACAAGGUAAGGGCAUAGGAAUGAGGAUUAGGCAGCUCUUAUGUCUUCUCAGUUCCCUGGAAAGAACUUGGAGAUAACAGCCAUGGGGAGCUGGAGAAGAUCAUGGGAUGAGGGAAUGGAAAAGCUCCAAAGGACAAGAACUGGGGGAUGGGAUGGGGAAUUCUAAAUGCAGUUCUUGGAUCCUAGCAAUGUCACAUUUAAAAAGCAUCCCUGGUGGGCUCAGUGGUAGAGCUCCUAUCCAGCAUGAGUAAGGCCCUGGGUUUCAUCCCUAGCAACACCAGAGUUGGGGAGGCAUGCCCCUCAUAGCUCAAUAGAGCCACUCAGUUUGUGUCCCAUGAGGGGAUGUGGUAUCCUGACAUUCUGGCAGGGUGUAGUGCCUGUAUCCUCCUGUGAGAAGCCACUCUGACUGACUCUACCAAGCUGCUUGAUGCUCUUAUGCCGUUACUCCUCUGGAGAACCUGGCUCUGUCCUGGUUCCUCUCUAGUGGUGAGAAGAGCCAAGUAUGUGCUGGAAGAAGGUCUUCCAAACCUGGCCUAGUAUCAUGGUUCCUGGGGGUCUUUAUUAUCACCCUUGCUCUAGCCCAGCCCCAUGAUUCAUCUGUUUUACUGCCACCUGCUGACCAGAGGAAUACCAGGAGGGCAGAUCGAUUUAUUCAGCUGCUUCUUUUAUUAGAAACAAGUGAGAUGUACUGAGCAGAACAACAAUGCAUUUGGUAUUUCUUCCCCACCCUGGAAAUGGAUGUCCCCUACAGCCCAAGAAAAGCCAAGACAAAAAGGUGAAGCUUGCCCUCUCUGUUCCCAGAUGCAGCCCUGCCUGCCAGCCAGUCAAUGUUUUUGAGUUUAAUUAAAUGAAACUGUCCUAAAUA